rnacentral:rRNA from 1 species
GUGGGGAAUCUUGCGCAAUGGGGGAAACCCUGACGCAGCAACGCCGCGUGGGUGAUGAAGGCCUUCGGGUCGUAAAGCCCUGUCAGGUGGAAAGAAACUUGCCGAUGUGAAUAUCAUCGGCAAUUGACGGUACCACCGGAGGAAGCACCGGCUAACUCCGUGCCAGCAGCCGCGGUAAUACGGAGGGUGCAAGCGUUGUUCGGAAUUAUUGGGCGUAAAGCGCGUGCAGGCGGUUGGGUAAGUCAGAUGUGAAAGCCUCUCGCUUAACGAGAGAAGUGCAUUUGAAACUGCUCGGCUAGAGUACGGGAGAGGAGAGUGGAAUUCCCGGUGUAGAGGUGAAAUUCGUAGAUAUCGGGAGGAACACCAGUGGCGAAGGCGGCUCUCUGGUCCGAUACUGACGCUGAGACGCGAAAGCGUGGGGAGCAAACAGGAUUAGAAACCCUAGUAGUCC